UGAGGCCAUAUAACGUGGAAACAUUGGUUCCCAUACGAUCACCGAAGUCAAGCAACGUCAAGCCUGGUCAGUAUCUAGACAGGUGAGCGCUUGUGUAUAUCAGGUGCUGUAAG